rnacentral:misc_RNA from 1 species
GAUGAAGAACGCAGCGAAAUGCGAUACGUAAUGUGAAUUGCAGAAUUCAGUGAAUCAUCGAAUCUUUGAACGCACAUUGCGCCUGCCAGCACUCUGGCAGGCAUGCCUGUUCGAGCGUCAUUUCAACCAUCAAGCCCUAGGCUUGCGUUGGAGCCCUGCGGCUGCCGCAGGCCCCUAAAAGCAGUGGCGGGCUCGCUAUCACACCGAGUGCAGUAGAUUACUCUUCGCUCAGGGCGUGUGGCGGGUUCCAGCCGUGAAACCCCCUACUUCUCAAGGUUGACCUCGGAUCAGGUAGGAAUACCCGCUGAACUUAAGCAUAUCAAUAAUCGGAGGA